rnacentral:tRNA from 1 species
UGCCUCAUAGUGUAAUGGUAGCACAAGUGACUCUGAAUCACUUUGUCUAGGUUCGAAUCCUAGUGAGGCAGCCA